CCUACGGGAGGCAGCAGUGGGGAAUUUUGGACAAUGGGCGCAAGCCUGAUCCAGCAAUGCCGCGUGAGUGAAGAAGGCCUUCGGGUUGUAAAGCUCUUUUGUCAGGGAAGAAACGGUGAGGGCUAAUAUCUCUUGCUAAUGACGGUGCCUGAAGAAUAAGCACCGGCUAACUACGUGCCAGCAGCCGCGGUAAUACGUAGGGUGCAAGCGUUAAUCGGAAUUACUGGGCGUAAAGCGUGCGCAGGCGGUUUUGUAAGUCUGUCGUGAAAUCCCCGGGCUCAACCUGGGAAUUGCGAUGGAGACUGCAAGGCUAGAAUCUGGCAGAGGGGGGUAGAAUUCCACGUGUAGCAGUGAAAUGCGUAGAGAUGUGGAGGAACACCGAUGGCGAAGGCAGCCCCCUGGGUCAAGAUUGACGCUCAUGCACGAAAGCGUGGGGAGCAAACAGGAUUAGAUACCCUGGUAGUCCACGCCCUAAACGAUGUCUACUAGUUGUCGGGUUUUAAUUAACUUGUAACGCAGCUAACGCGUGAAGUAGACCGCCUGGGGAGUACGGUCGCAAGAUUAAAACUCAAAUGAAAUUGACGG
rnacentral:rRNA from 1 species